AAAAAGGCAAACCCUGAGUUUCCGUGUCCAACUUUGACUGUCCGUCUUAUAUAAAUUUUUUUUAUAAUUCGUAUUUUCAUUGUUGUUAGAUGAUAAAACAUGAUUAAUAUUUUAUGUGUGACUUGUCUUUUUAAUUUUUUUCAUAAUUUUUUUAAAUAAGACGGACGGUCAAACGUUGGGCACGGAAACCAGGGUUUGUCUUAUU
rnacentral:pre_miRNA from 1 species